AAUGAACGCUGGCGGCGUGCCUAACACAUGCAAGUCGUACGAGAAAUCCCGAGCUUGCUUGGGAGAGUAAAGUGGCGCACGGGUGAGUAACGCGUGGGUAACCCACCUUCGAAUCUGGGAUAACUCCGCGAAAGCGGUGCUAAUACCGGAUAAGACCACAGCCGUUUCGGCGGCAGAGGUAAAAGCUGACCUCUCCAUGGAAGUUAGCGUUCGAGGACGGGCCCGCGUCCUAUCAGCUUGUUGGUGGGGUAAUGGCCUACCAAGGCAGCGACGGGUAGCUGGUCUGAGAGGAUGAUCAGCCACACUGGAACUGGAACACGGUCCAGACUCCUACGGGAGGCAGCAGUGAGGAAUUUUGCGCAAUGGGGGAAACCCUGACGCAGCAACGCCGCGUGGGUGAGGAAGGCUUUCGGGUCGUAAAGCCCUGUCAGGUGGGAAGAACCGUUUCGAUACUAAUAAUGUCGAAGCCUGACGGUACCACCAGAGGAAGCACCGGCCAAC
rnacentral:rRNA from 1 species